UACGUAGGGUGCAAGCGUUGUCCGGAAUUAUUGGGCGUAAAGCGCUCGUAGGCGGUCUGUCGCGUCUGCUGUGAAAACUCAGGGCUUAACCCUGAGCUUGCAGUGGGUACGGGCAGACUAGAGUGCGGUAGGGGAGACUGGAAUUCCUGGUGUAGCGGUGAAAUGCGCAGAUAUCAGGAGGAACACCGGUGGCGAAGGCAGGUCUCUGGGCCGUAACUGACGCUGAGGAGCGAAAGCAUGGGGAGCGAACAGG
rnacentral:rRNA from 1 species